AAUCAACGCUGGCGGCGUGCCUAACACAUGCAAGUCGAACGCGAAAGGGGCUUCGGCCCUGAGUAGAGUGGCGAACGGGUGAGUAACACGUGGGUGAUCUACCUUCGAGUGGGGGAUAACGUUCCGAAAGGAGCGCUAAGACCGCAUGACGUUCCGGGUUUGAAGACCUGGCAACCAAAGUCGGGGACCGCAAGGCCUGACGCUCGAAGAGGAGCCCGCGCCUGAUUAGCUAGUUGGUGAGGUCAUGGCUCACCAAGGCGACGAUCAGUAGCCGGCCUGAGAGGGCGGACGGCCACACUGGGACUGAGACACGGCCCAGACUCCUACGGGAGGCAGCAGUGGGGAAUUGUUCGCAAUGGGCGCAAGCCUGACGACGCAACGCCGCGUGGAGGAUGAAGGUCUUCGGAUUGUAAACUCCUGUUGACCGGGAAGAAUGGACUCCGCUCGAACACAGCGGAGUAAUGACGGUACCGGUUGAGGAAGCCACGGCUAACUCUGUGCCAGCAGCCGCGGUAAUACAGAGGUGGCAAGCGUUGUUCGGAAUUACUGGGCGUAAAGGGCGCGUAGGCGGCCUUCUAAGUCAGACGUGAAACCCCCAGGCUUAACUUGGGAACUGCGUCUGAUACUGGAGGGCUCGAGUGCGGGAGAGGGAUGUGGAAUUCCAGGUGUAGCGGUGAAAUGCGUAGAUAUCUGGAGGAACACCGGUGGCGAAGGCGGCAUCCUGGACCGACACUGACGC
rnacentral:rRNA from 1 species